CCCAGCUUUUUGAAACCCCCUUGGAGCAAUAACCCUUAAACUCAAUCCCAUGCUUUCCAUUUCAGUAUUGAACCUUGUAGUACAAUUUCAGAGAGAUCCAUACACUUAAACACAAGUUAUUGUCAUGAUUGUUUGGAAACUAGAAACAUGCUUUUUUUUGCCCCUAAUUCCUACAUAUUUUGGGCAAUUAACCCAAAACUUAAUCCCAGCCUCCCCUUUGUUAUAUGGUACAUUGUGGUACAAUUUCAGAGAGAUCCAUACAAUUACACAUAAGUUAUUGUCUUGAAACUAGAAAAAUGCUUGUUUUGACCCCUUUUUGGCCCUUAAUUCCUAAACUUUGGCCCCAUAACCCCUAAAAUGAAUCCAAACCUUCUACUUGUGGUUUUAAACAUUGCGGUAUGAUUUCAGAGCAAUUGAAAUACUUCUGCACAAGUUAUUAUCCUGAAACUAGAAAAAUGCUUCUGUUAAGCCCCUUUUGGCCCCCUAAUUCCUAAUCGGUUGGGACCAUCAUCCCAACCUUCCUUUUGUG
rnacentral:lncRNA from 1 species